GAUGAACGCUGGCGGCGUGCUUAACACAUGCAAGUCGAACGAUGAAGCCCAGCUUGCUGGGUGGAUUAGUGGCGAACGGGUGAGUAACACGUGAGUAACCUGCCCUUAACUCUGGGAUAAGCCUGGGAAACUGGGUCUAAUACCGGAUAGGAGCGUCCACCGCAUGGUGGGUGUUGGAAAGAUUUAUCGGUUUUGGAUGGACUCGCGGCCUAUCAGCUUGUUGGUGAGGUAAUGGCUCACCAAGGCCACGACGGGUAGCCGGCCUGAGAGGGUGACCGGCCACACUGGGACUGAGACACGGCCCAGACUCCUACGGGAGGCAGCAGUGGGGAAUAUUGCACAAUGGGCGCAAGCCUGAUGCAGCGACGCCGCGUGAGGGAUGACGGCCUUCGGGUUGUAAACCUCUUUCAGUAGGGAAGAAGCGAAAGUGACGGUACCUGCAGAAGAAGCACCGGCUAACUACGUG
rnacentral:rRNA from 1 species